rnacentral:rRNA from 1 species
CCCUGCCAUUUGUACACACCGCCCGUCGCUACUAUCGAGUGAUGAGUUAUCCAGAUUCUCGGACUGGCUCCUUGGCAGCUUCACGGCUGCCAUCGUGGCUCGGAAAGAGACUCUAGAUCACUUAUCGCGAGAAAGUAAAAGUCGUAACAAGGUA